rnacentral:rRNA from 1 species
CCUACGGGUGGCAGCAGUGAGGAAUAUUGGUCAAUGGGCGAGAGCCUGAACCAGCCAAGUCGCGUGAGGGAAGACGGUCCUAUGGAUUGUAAACCUCUUUUGUCGGGGAGCAAAAAGGCCUCGUGAGGCCACAAGUGAGAGUACCCGAAGAAAAAGCAUCGGCUAACUCCGUGCCAGCAGCCGCGGUAAUACGGAGGAUGCGAGCGUUAUCCGGAUUUAUUGGGUUUAAAGGGUGUGCAGCCGGAGAGACAAGUCAGAUGUGAAAUCCACGGGCUCAACCCGUGAACUGCAUUUGAAACUGUUUCCCUUGAGUGUCGGAGAGGUAAUCGGAAUUCCUUGUGUAGCGGUGAAAUGCGUAGAUAUAAGGAAGAACACCAGUGGCGAAGGCGGAUUACUGGACGAUAACUGACGGUGAGGCGCGAAAGCGUGGGGAGCAAACAGGAUUAGAUACCCCAGUAGUC